rnacentral:rRNA from 1 species
AAUCUUCCGCAAUGGGCGCAAGCCUGACGGAGCAAUGCCGCGUGAGUGAAGAAGGCCUUCGGGUUGUAAAGCUCUGUCCUAAGGGAAGAAAGAAUCUUAUGUGAACAAUGUAAGGAAGUGACGGUACCUUGGGAGGAAGCCCCGGCUAACUACGUGCCAGCAGCCGCGGUAAUACGUAGGGGGCGAGCGUUAUCCGGAAUUACUGGGCGUAAAGGGUGCGUAGGCGGCCUUUUAAGUCAGAUGUGAAAGGCUACGGCUUAACCGUAGUUAGCAUUUGAAACUAAAAGGCUUGAGUGCAGGAGAGGAGAGUGGAAUUCCUAGUGUAGCGGUGAAAUGCGUAGAUAUUAGGAGGAACACCAGUGGCGAAGGCGACUCUCUGGACUGCAACUGACGCUGAGGCACGAAAGCGUGGGGAGCGAAC